GAUGAAGAACGCAACGAAAUGCGAUAAGUAAUGUGAAUUGCAGAAUUCAGUGAAUCAUCGAAUCUUUGAACGCACAUUGCGCCCGCCAGUAUUCUGGCGGGCAUGCCUGUUCGAGCGUCAUUUCAACCAUCAAGCCCCAGGCUUGUGUUGGGGACCUGCGGCUGCCGCAGGCCCUGAAAACCAGUGGCGGGCUCGCUGUCACACCGGGCGUAGUAGAUUUUAUCUCGCUCUGGGCGUGCUGCGGGUUCCGGCCGUUAAAAAACCCUUUUAACCCAAGGUUGACCUCGGAUCAGGUAGGAAUACCCGCUGAACUUAAGCAUAUCAAUAAGCGGAGGA
rnacentral:misc_RNA from 1 species